rnacentral:rRNA from 1 species
GAUGAACGCUGGCGGCGUGCUUAACACAUGCAAGUCGAACGGGAAACCUUUUAUUUAAUCUUCUGCAGAUUUAGCGGGUUUCUAGUGGCGGCCGGGGUAGUAACGCGUGGGUAACCUGCCUUAUACAGGGGGAUAACAACCAGAAAGGGUUGCUAAUACCGCAUCAUCGCACAGGACGGCAUGGUCCGGUGUGACAAAUUCCGGUGGGUUAAGAUGGACCCGCGUUGGAUUUGCUAGUUGGCAGGGUAACUGCCUACCAAGGAGACGUUCCAUAGCCGGGGGGGGAGGGUGACCGGUAACAGUGGGGAUGCGACACGGCCCAGAAUCCUACGGGAGGGAGCAGUGGGGAAUAUUGCACAAUGGGGGAAACCCUGAGGACGCGGCGCCGCGUGAAGGAAGAAGUAUCUCGGUAUGUAAACUUCUAUGAGAAGGGGAGAUAGUGACGGUACCUGACUAAGAAGCACCGGCUAACUACGUG